GACGAACGCUGGCGGCGUGCUUAACACAUGCAAGUCGAACGGAAAGGCCCUGAGCUUGCGGGGCGCUCGAGUGGCGAACGGGUGAGUAACACGCGAGUAACCUGCCCUUGACUUUGGGAUAACUUCAGGAAACUGGGGAUAAUACCGGAUAGGAGCUCUUGCUGCACGGUGGGGGUUGGAAAGUUUCGGCGUUUGGGGAUGGACUCGCAGCUUAUCAGCUUGUUUGUGGGGUAGUGGCUUACCAAGGGUUUGACGGGUAGCCGGCCUGAGAGGGUGGCCGGCGACAUGAGGCCUAAGGUACGGAGCAGUAUCCAAGCGGAGGCAACAGUGGAGAAUAUGACGCAGUGGGGGGGAGUGAGAGACAACGACGCCGCGAGCGGGAUGACGUCCUACGAGUUGUAAACAGCUGUCGCCUGUGACAAGGAGUGAGUGACGGUAAUGGGUAAGAAAGCAAUGGCUAACUACGUG
rnacentral:rRNA from 1 species